rnacentral:rRNA from 1 species
UGGGGAAUCUUGCGCAAUGCGCGAAAGCGUGACGCAGCAACGCCGCGUGGGGGAAGACGGCCUUCGGGUUGUAAACCCCUUUCAGGAGGGACGAAGGUUCACCGGUGAAUAGCCGUGUGGAUUGACGGUACCUCCAGAAGAAGCUCCGGCUAACUACGUGCCAGCAGCCGCGGUAAUACGUAGGGAGCAAGCGUUGUCCGGAAUCAUUGGGCGUAAAGCGCGCGUAGGCGGCCCUGUAAGUCCGCUGUGAAAGUCAAAGGCUCAACCUUUGAAAGCCGGUGGAUACUGCAGGGCUAGAGUCCGGAAGAGGCGAGUGGAAUUCCUGGUGUAGCGGUGGAAUGCGCAGAUAUCAGGAGGAACACCAAUAGCGAAGGCAGCUCGCUGGGACGGUACUGACGCUAAGGCGCGAAAGCGUGGGGAGCGAACA